rnacentral:rRNA from 1 species
CCUACGGGAGGCAGCAGUGAGGAAUAUUGGUCAAUGGGCGGAAGCCUGAACCAGCCAAGUCGCGUGAGGGAAUAAGGCCCUACGGGUCGUGAACCUCUUUUGCCGGGGAGCAAGGGCCGGGACGUGUCCCGGCCCGGAGAGUACCCGGAGAAAAAGCAUCGGCUAACUCCGUGCCAGCAGCCGCGGUAAUACGGAGGAUGCGAGCGUUGUCCGGAUUUAUUGGGUUUAAAGGGUGCGUAGGCGGGCUUUUAAGUCAGCGGUAAAAAUUCGGGGCUCAACCCCGUCCGGCCGUUGAAACUGGGGGG